CAGUAUGGCUCUCAUCCGGCAGACGCUGCUAAUAUUAAACGACACGACAAAGAUUGCGUGCGAGAGAGAUUUGGCCAUCGUAGAGGUAUCUCUCCUGACUCUCCCGCUCUAUAAAAUUAACCGCCUUAAGUACCUGUUGCUCAGAUAAAGUACGCACAAAAGGUAACACAAUUUGAUGCAUCAUAUCAUGAUCAAAUCAAAUCAAACUUUUCAGUCUCACGCUUCAGCGUGACACUGCAGAAAUCUGUUUUUUCGCUUCCCUUUUGCGCGCACUUUGAAGAUUUUUUAUAUUUUUGGGUAUUUUACUAUUUUUUAUAAUAUAUUACUAUUUAUUACUAUACAAUAUUUGCAUAUACAAUACAUAAUUCAAUAUAAUAUUGAAUUAAGAAAAUAUAUUCAAAGUAUCAGGCUGUUCUGUUUCUUCUGUUUUCUGUUGUUUUCCCUUUUUUCGUAAUCGCCGCCUCAGUUUUUUAAGGCGAACACAUACAACUAAAAAGCAUCACGUAUCCCUCUAGUACUGGCGGUGGCGAUUGACCAUGCCCGAACUACUGAUUUGGCUGGUUCCUACAUGGGUACUUUCCGGACUAACCCUAUGGUAAACGAACGCCGAACCACUCAAAGAAGAGACAAAAAAUGUUGCUCUGUAUACUCUACAACCCACCGCGCACCAGCCACCGAACUAGUUCGGUUGGGAUGCAACGUCUCACCAGUAGACGAAAAAACGAAAAAGCAUGAGAGGAAAAUGAAGAGAGCAGGUAGCUAAAAAUGAUGCUGAUCUGCUCUUCUCCUUUCCCUUUUCUGUUUUCGGUAAUUUCAUUGCUAGAAUGUUCUUUGCGUUUGGCGUUUGUGCAAAUCAGUGCGGCUGUCCAAGUGAUUAUAAUUAUUCAAUUUUAAACAGUUAUUCAAAGCAAAUGUAUAGCAAACGGCAGUUGCGUAGGCUCAAAAAAGAAAUAUAAGACAAAUAUGCAGCCAAACAUAAUCGUGCUAGCGGAGAAACAGUGUCGUGCAGUGAAAUAGAAAAAGUUGAACGCCGCGAAAUAGGAGAGACAAUCGACGAAAAUGAAACAAAUGGAAAGUGACACUGAAAAAUUUAAAGAACUUCUUUAGAGUUUUGAUUGAUGCCAUAACUGUAGGUACGGGGACUGGAUCAGCUGAAGUCCAGAUUAGGAAAGCCCUACAGCUGCAAAAAAAAACGUUUUUUCAAAAACAGUACCACCGCGAACAGCAGACCUUAAUUAGUAAAUUUAAAAACUUAAAUGAAAUAUGUAUAUAAUAAAAUAAAAAUUUAAAUAUGAAAUUAAA